rnacentral:misc_RNA from 1 species
AAGUCGUAACAAGGUAGCCGUAGGGGAACCUGCGGCUGGAUCACCUCCUUUCUAAGGACGAUCCCUCAGUAUUGAGACUUCGGUCUCGAUCUAUCGGAUCUCUUCAGAAACAUCAGCCGGACAUAGGUGGAAACAUCAUGAUCUGGCAUUGGCGGGACACCGCCGUCUUCGUUUCUCUUUCUUCGCGGACAAGCUUGACGCCCAGGUUGCGGUCCUUUGGACUGCGUUCCGGUUUCGGGCCUGUAGCUCAGGUGGUUAGAGCGCACCCCUGAUAAGGGUGAGGUCGGACGUUCGAGUCGUCCCAGGCCCACCACCAUCAGACAGUUCUUGCCUGCGCCUCAUGUCCGAAGCUUCGCGAACUCUCGCCUGUGGCAUCCUGUGAUGGGGCCAUAGCUCAGUUGGGAGAGCGCGUGCUUUGCAAGCAUGAGGUCGUCGGUUCGAUCCCGUCUGGCUCCACCAUUCUUCUUUUCUUGAGGAAGAUGAUGGCAGGGUGGUUUGCGCUCGGCUCCUUUGAGUGAAGGCUCUUGGGGUCUUGAGCGUCUUGUCCGCGAAUAUCUGUUUCGCAUGUUCCAUCAUGCCGGUCUCCGGCGGAACAUGCACGGCUGUAUGACAUCGUGAAUAGGGCAUUGAUCGACUGUACCGUGGCAACACGGUCGGGUCGUGGGGAAGGUGGCGACACCUUUCGAUGCGAUCAUUGGGUGCUGACCGCACCAUUGUCGACAAUGCGAAGCUGGUCUUUUCAAAGAAGACGUCGAAGCCGUCCGGCCGGGAGCAAUCCUGGUGCGGGCCUCUGCCGAGGGGUGGGCAUCGACGAUGAGAACGAUCAAGUGUCUUAAGGGCAUUCGGUGGAUGCCUUGGCGCUAAGAGGCGAAGAAGGACGUGAUACGCUGCGAUAAGCUUCGGGGAGCCGCGAAUGGGCUUUGAUCCGGAGAUUUCCGAAUGGGGCAACCCA